AUUGAACGCUGGCGGCAUGCCUUACACAUGCAAGUCGAACGGCAGCACGGGUGCUUGCACCUGGUGGCGAGUGGCGAACGGGUGAGUAAUACAUCGGAACAUGUCCUGUAGUGGGGGAUAGCCCGGCGAAAGCCGGAUUAAUACCGCAUACGAUCUACGGAUGAAAGCGGGGGACCUUCGGGCCUCGCGCUAUAGGGUUGGUCGAUGGCUGAUUAGCUAGUUGGUGGGGUAAAGGCCUACCAAGGCGACGAUCAGUAGCUGGUCUGAGAGGACGACCAGCCACACUGGGACUGAGACACGGCCCAGACUCCUACGGGAGGCAGCAGUGGGGAAUUUUGGACAAUGGGCGAAAGCCUGAUCCAGCAAUGCCGCGUGUGUGAAGAAGGCCUUCGGGUUGUAAAGCACUUUUGUCCGGAAAGAAAUCCUUGGCCCUAAUACGGUCGGGGGAUGACGGUACCGGAAGAAUAAGCACCGGCUAACUACGUG
rnacentral:rRNA from 1 species